GCCGGAGUGGCGGAAUGGCAGACGCGAUGGAUUCAAAAUCCAUUGGGCAUCACAGCUCGUGUGGGUUCGAGUCCCACCUCCGGUA
rnacentral:tRNA from 1 species